rnacentral:misc_RNA from 1 species
CAACCCUUAAGCCCCUGUUGCUUAGCGUUGGGAGCCUACUGGACACACCUCCUGUAGCUCCCCAAAGUCAGUGGCGGAGCCGGUUCGCACUCCAGACGUAGUAGCUUUUACACAUCGCCUGUAGCGCGGGCCCGGCCCCUUGCCGUAAAACACCCCAAUUUUUAUA